UACGUAGGGGGGCAAGCGUUGUCCGGAUUUAUUGGGCGUAAAGAGCGUGUAGGCGGUCUGGUAGGUCCGUUGUGAAAACUCGAGCUCAACCUCGAGACGCCGAUGGAAACCCUCAGACUAGAGUCCGGAAGAGGAGAGUGGAAUUCCGUGGUGUAGCGGGUGAAAUGCGCAGAUAAUCAGGAAGAACACCCGUGGCUAAGGCGGCUCUCUAGUACGGUACUGACGCUGAGACGCGAAAGCGUGGGGAGCGAACAGG
rnacentral:rRNA from 1 species